CAGGCCCCAAAACACAGCGUGCUUUUGUGAUGCACUCGGCUCCAGAGUGGACACGUUCCGCACUGAAGCAGGGAAUCACCUCAGUGGGCCAGGACCUCACAGAUCCUGAGACUGCCGCCAUCAGCUUUAGAAGCAGUCAUGCAGAAGGCAGGGGUUUGUCUGCAUAACAAGAUGAAAGUGUGCUUGUAAAGACGUACAAGAGCAGCAGAGAUGUGGUGGAACAGGCUUCAGGUGUCACUGACAAGUCUCCAGAGGGCAACUGUGUUGCUGAGCUAUUCUGCACCCCAUAUACCCUCCUUUCACUCCUCCUGUUACUCAGGGUAAGAAGGUUCAACGAAGCAUAGAUAUGCUACAUUCAUGACUCUAUUUUGCUGCAGAGACAUGCUAGAAGAUCAACACCUAACACUUCAUGUCUAGCAAAGAGUGACAGCGCAGUGAA